GCAGUUUCCCCUUAGCUGUCCAAGGAUCUAGAACUGGAAUACGGAGUCUUUCUACCUUUGCUUGGCCAACCGUCGGGCUCCGUUUGCUUUCUUCAUCCAGUUUCGUUUUACUUGAGUUUGACGCAGCAGACCAAGUCCAGAGAUUUGAGAGAAUCUCCCUUCACCCACUCCUGUUUUGUAAGCACGCCUUCAGAGGUGUCACUACGGACUUGCCCAUCACUUGGCAGAAAGGGGGCUGGAAGAAGUUUUUAAAGGAUCUUUUUACCUGGAGGGGUUAGAACCGUCCCUUCCCUGAGCCUGGGAAAAUGCAAAUCCUUCAGAGCAAAUCCUUCCUUUGUUCUACUAAAGGAGGCUGCCUCAUUGUGUCCUAACGUUUUGCAGUGAUUACCUUCUUCUCUGUUUCCUUUUGUACUUACAGAUAAAAACUUGGGCAACUUUUUCUGCAAAUCCCCCUGUUACUCAGGAGCACAAGAAUUAGCAUCCUCGAGCCUUCAGUUGUUUGCCUCCAGAAUUUCACUAGCACUGCCUUCCUGUUCAAAGGAGAAAAUAUAUUUAAAAUUUUUUAAUAUUUCAUGAUAGCACAUUUGAUUUUUUUUUUAAGGGAAUUAAAAGAACUUGUAGCCUAGCAAUUCAGAGACAACUUGUAGACACAGAAGGAAGUUUGUUUGGGGGGAUUAUAUUUGUACAACUUGGUACCUUCUUCACUUGACUUUUUCAGAUACGUUUUUAGUUUAUAUUACUUAAAUUAUGUUCGACACAAUAUAAAUAAUACAGACAAAUACAAAGAACAAAUCACUCAGAAUGCCAUUAUCAAGGAAGAACCACUAUUAA